rnacentral:lncRNA from 12 species
CCUCGGUGCGCUGCCCUCGGUGCGCUGCCCUCCUCUCGGGGAGCCCUCGGUGCGCUGCCCCCCACAGCCUGCACGGCCCCCGGCUGAGCGCUGCUCUCCCCCAGCUGCUGCCAGGGCCGUGCUGCGGCUCCUUGCGGUGCACGUGCUUCUCAUCUGGCGUCAAAUCUCCAGCCCUUCCUACCUCUGUGUCUUUCCAGUGUCUCCGCUGCUCCUGUGUCCUUUGAUCGCCUUCAGAUUGAGAGAGAUUGUGAAGAACACACUUGAGUCUACAAAGAUUUUCCCAUAAGAAUCAAGUCCAGUGGAUGAAUUUCAAAUUUUGUCCUGUAAGGUAAGUGCUUUAGACCUCUUACUAGUACUAGGUAUAAAUUAAGUUGUGAAUUGCA